CUGGCAAUGCAUUCGCCUUAUAACUUUUGGAAGCCCACUUGUUUUUUUGAAUCGUUUCAUUGGUUUUGAUAUUACAUUCAUUAUGAUUUACUCAUUUCUCGAGAUUCUUUUAUUGUGGUACAAGGAGUUCAGGUAUUCCAUUCUUUGGACUGGUUUUUCUGAUAUUGGCACAAAGAGUGUCACCAUUUGCGAAUGCCUUAAACUCAGCACAUAUUUCUGAGACUAAACACACAAGUUAUGUUUUCAAUUGCAACCCAUGUGUAUGCUGGAUACAAAUUAGCGCUCGGCAAACGACACAAUGAUCAUGAGGAGUUUUCUCGUUCCACGUAGUGCAGCACCCAACAUCCAGAGACUGAAAGGUCUGGUAAUGUGGCAAGGUCAUGCUUGCCAUUGAUCUCUUCCCAUGUUGCGUGGUGAUGUCUUCUCAUGGUUGCAUGAUGUAAUAAUCAAGGUAUAUUAAGGGAGAUUCAGACUACAAUGUCCAACACAAAUAAUUCAAUGCCAUGUGGUCUCCUCCAUGUUUCUUUGGAAGGAAUUUGGGAUUUUUUUAGUCCCUUUUGAGUACAUAAUUUUCUUUUUUAAUCUAAUUUCCCAUCAAUUUCAGAUUAGGGCACGGGUUACCAUCAGAUCAUGUUGGCAUAUGCCUCCCAAAUCAUUACUAUUUAUAUAGGUUGAAUUGCAUUUCAUGUUUGCUGAACAAUUUUGACCGAGGAAAACCUGACCAUUGAUCGAGUAUGGAAUACCAAUGCCGUAUGGCGUAGGAAUGCGCUAUGCAGGGGAGGGUGACCGUGCCAUUGGGGAGGAAUGACGUCCCCUUCUUUUGCAGGAAAAGGGCAGGGUAAAAACGUGAACAAGCAUCCCCAUAAAAUUUGAGCAAGUAUUUUUAGAGGCAGGUUAAAAUGUGAGCAAGGAAAAGUGCAGGGUAAAAUUGUGAGCAAGGAUCCCUAUAAAAUGUGAGCAAGUAUUCUUAGAGGCAGGUUAAAAUGUGAGCAAGGAAAAGGGCAGGAUAAAAUGUGAUUUUCGAGCAUUUUUAGAGGCAUACAAACCUCAGAAUGUGAGCAACUGGGGUGGAGGCGAUUUUGGGGCGCUUGAAGGCAGGAAAUAAUACAUGUUCGCAGAGAAAAAUGCAGAGGAGGGUUCAAUCAUUCCUGUCUACUUAUUGGAUUUUGCCACCUUCUGAAGCAUGGUCCAGUCAUUAUUUACUCUACAAAGCAACUCACAUGUACCUUACAGUUCAAAAAUUGUCACUCAUUUUGGGGACCGAUUCUCACAAUGGUAGGGAGUAAAAGCAGCAGGGGAGAGCUUAAAGAACAUAAGGAGCAGCAAACAAGCUACAAAACCAGGCUUCAAAUAAUCUCUGUGAUGCCCUAAACUAUUCGGCUCAGAUGCUUACAGAGUUUGGAACUUCCAGGAUCUCCCUGCACAAGUAUCCUUUUGACUUUCUUUGGUUGCUUUGAUGAGAUGGGAAAAGAGGAGAUUUUCUUCAUAGAGGAGACAAGACGGGGAUGCACUGUUAUUGAUCUUGAUGAACUCGUACAACAUUCUGGAAAUAUUUUGCCUAGAUUGUAAGUUUUCUUGUACUGGUUACUUAUGUUUGACAUUUUUUAUUAUUAUCAAUGUAAGUUGUCAAAAGAUUUAUCAUGCCUCUAAUAUUUAUAAUAAAGGAUUUAAAUUUACCGAUCUCAUUCUAAAAAUAAACUCAUAUGCUUGUAUUCUUUUUAGGACUGCUGUCCCAUUGUAUGAUUUAUGUAAGACACAUGCUGACAACUAAUGAUUAUAUAUAAUUAGUCUGAAAAACUUAUUAAUUCUGUUGUCCAAAAUGUUUGGUAUGGCAAGAUCCUGUUAGGCUUGGCCAACUUGAAAACAUCAAAGAGAAACGUGCAUGUGGUUGAUGGAAAACAAAGCAGUCUUUUUUUGGCACUAUGUUAAUGGCUUUGCAAUUUAAUUUAUGUGAAAUGGAAAAUUGAUCUAAAAUGGUAAUCUUAUUUAAAGUUAUCCUUUUUAAGUCAAAUUUCAUUUUAUUUAUUCUUGGUGCCAAUUCUGAUUCAACUCUAAGAUGACUUAGCUUAUCAGUCUAGUGGGUUUCAAGUCUGGCUACUAAGAAAGGGGUCCCCUGGUAGGGGGGAACCAUUGCUGGAAUCAAUGCUAUUCUUGUCCCUCAGGUAGGGUAGCAGUGGUGGGCUCAAAAUUUUAAGCAUCUGCUUGAAAUAUUUUAGAAAGCAAAUUGUAUUGCUGGUCAUUGCUGUAGAUUCUCAUAAUGGUGAAGACCUCAUAUAAUGGGACCACUUUCCACCAAAAUGCUCCAACAUUGCCUCAGCAGUGUCAGUGGGGUUGAUAGUACUUGGAAUAAAGCUGAUUAGAUCAUCCUGCCUUUAUUUCAUCUACGUCAGCAGAUUUAUGGCUAUUUUACACAGUUGUCGUUGAUCUAGCAAAUUGGCCUGUUUAUAUUGGGAAAUCAGGCUACCCUCUGAGGUUAUAGUGUCUUUAUAACUUACACUCGAUGCUUCCACGGUUCCACCUGGUUACCAAUGAAGGAUAAUGAACAUUAACGAUGUAUUUAGUUAUUUGCUUAUGGGUUGUUGGAACUAGUUGGAAACUUUCAGUUAUAUUGUUGAAUCUAUAUAUACACAGAAAUGUAUCAUGA